GGUGAGUAACACGUGGGCAACCUGCCUGUAAGAUCGGAAUAACCCCGGGAAACCGGGGCUAAUGCCGGGUAAUACUUUCUUUCGCAUGAAGGAAAGUUGAAAGAUGGCUUCUAGCUAUCACUUACAGAUGGGCCCGCGGCGCAUUAGCUAGUUGGUGAGGUAACGGCUCACCAAGGCGACGAUGCGUAGCCGACCUGAGAGGGUGAUCGGCCACACUGGGACUGAGACACGGCCCAGACUCCUACGGGAGGCAGCAGUAGGGAAUCUUCCGCAAUGGACGAAAGUCUGACGGAGCAACGCCGCGUGAACGAUGAAGGUCUUCGGAUCGUAAAGUUCUGUUGUUAGGGAAGAACAAGUACCGUGCGAAUAGAGCGGUACCUUGACGGUACCUAACGAGGAAGCCCCGGCUAACUACGUGCCAGCAGCCGCGGUAAUACGUAGGGGGCAAGCGUUGUCCGGAAUUAUUGGGCGUAAAGCGCGCGCACGCGGUUCCUUAAGUCUGAUGUGAAAGCCCACGGCUCAACCGUGGAGGGUCAUUGGAAACUGGGGAACUUGAGGACAGAAGAGGAGAGUGGAAUUCCACGUGUAGCGGUGAAAUGCGUAGAUAUGUGGAGGAACACCAGUGGCGAAGGCGACUCUCUGGUCUGUUUCUGACGCUGAGGUGCGAAAGCGUGGGUAGCAAACAGGAUUAGA
rnacentral:rRNA from 1 species